rnacentral:rRNA from 1 species
GACGAAGGGGGCUUGCGUUGUUCGGAAUUACUGGGCGUAAAGGGCUCGUAGGCGGCCAACUAAGUCAGACGUGAAAUCCCUCAGCUUAACUGGGGAACUGCGUCUGAUACUGGAUGGCUUGGAUUCGGGAGAGGAAUGCGGAAUUCCAGGUGUAGCGGUGAAAUGCGUAGAUAUCUGGAGGAACACCGGUGGCGAAGGCGGCAUUCUGGACCGAUAUUGACGCUGAGGAGCGAAAGCCAGGGGAGCAAACGGG